ACAUCAACAACAUCCAGCCAUGGAAAUCAACACAAAAUGCAUCAGUCAUCUGAUUCCGUCAUUACUACACAACCUGGCAGUACUCAAACUCCAAAUCUUGAGCAAACCCCUUCUGGACAUAACAAUGAUCAGGACUCAGGUCGAGCAGGACAGAGAGGAUCAGAUCCUGGAUUUCAAGUUGC